ACAAAAUGGAAAUGCAAAUGAAAUGCAAAUGAAAUUAGGAUGCAUUGAAUUGCAGGGAGGCCCCUGCUUGUAGAUUCAGGGAAUUCCUGAAGACCAGACUUCAUGUUCUGUGCUGGGAGGAGAAAUACUGGUCAUCCAUGAGUUGAUGCUGGACGGUACAGGUGCUGGGGCUCUGUGCACCUGGGCAUCAGGAGAAACAGUAAGCAUGUUGAAAGUUCAGAAACAACAAGGGAUCAAAGCAGAAACAGAGGAGAGAAACUUUCUCACCACCAACAGCACUAGCUGCCAGAAGCCAUGAUCCAGCAGGCGCUGUUUGCCAAGAGGAGCUCACUAUACUGAGGACACCGCAGAACCAGGCAGCGAGUGACCCCCGUGUGGAUCCCUGGCUGAAUGGGCACCCCCAA